ACCCUCUGAAAAGCACACCUUAGGCCUUGCACUGACGACUCACUGAGCCAUCAAGGAAGGGCAAAGCAAAAACACCACUUUUGGGGGAAGUGGCAGCGUGUCGUGUUGUUUCGCUUCAAUCCGUGGUGUUCAAAAA